rnacentral:snoRNA from 1 species
CAAAGUUUUUUUUUAUGAUGAAUUUCCUUUGAACCUUUCAGCUUUAGGAAGAGCCGGAAGAGGUAUGGCUUUCUAUAGCAUGUACUCUAAGCAUCGUCAUAUGCUUGAGUAUUUGAUCAUGCGGAUUGCCGUCGUUGCUUAUAACUGGUUCCACUGACAUCCAAUUUCAC